UCCGUAGGGUGCAAGCGUUGUCCGGAAUUAUUGGGCGUAAAGAGCUUGUAGGCGGUUUGUCGCGUCUGCUGUGAAAUUUCGGGGCUCAACCCCGAACUUGCAGUGGGUACGGGCAGACUAGAGUGUGGUAGGGGAGACUGGAAUUCCUGGUGUAGCGGUGAAAUGCGCAGAUAUCAGGAGGAACACCGAUGGCGAAGGCAGGUCUCUGGGCCAUAACUGACGCUGAGAAGCGAAAGCAUGGGGAGCGAACAGG
rnacentral:rRNA from 1 species